rnacentral:rRNA from 1 species
CACCGCGGUUAUACGAGAGGUCCAAGUUGAUAGAAACCGGCGUAAAGAGUGGUUAGGAUAAUCUUACUUAACUAAAGCCAAACACCUUCAGAACUGUUAUACGUACCCGAAGGCAUGAAGAACCACUACGAAAGUGGCUUUACUAGCCCUGAACCCACGAAAGCUAUGCCA